GACGGGAGGGACAAGCGUUAUCCAUCUUGGCUAGGCGUACAGGGUACCUAGACUGUCUGACAAGGGCGCCUUGGCGAAACGCUUGUGAUUCUACAGGAAGCGGGGUGGCCGACUACCAGACUAGGGUUCGAGAAAGACGUUGGGGGAAUACUCAAAGUAGGAAUGAAAUCCACGCAAACUGAGUAGAACGCCGGUGGUGGAAACACCUUGCGACUACGAACCGACGUUCAUGGUACGAAGGCAUGGGGAGCAAACGGG
rnacentral:misc_RNA from 1 species